AAAAAAAUUCAAGUCAAGCAGAGUUUAGUCAAUAACAACUUACAUUAGUUUAGUUCAUCAACAAGAUCAUGUCUGGUUGUUUCAUAGGAAUGUUUUGAGAGAAGUUAAAGCUUUUUUUUGUCGGAAGAGAAGUUAUAGAUAGAAGUGAAUCCGUAGGAGGAUCCUGACUUGGGCUCAACUCGGUCGGGAAAUCGAUAUUUCUCCUCUGAGUCUGAGGAAAGAAUUGGGAGUUAAUCACGGCAGAAUGGCAAUUGGUGCAGCCGAAGAUUCCAUGUCUAUGUUAUUUAAUUUAAAUGAAAAGCCCAUUGCAGCCGAACACAGCACUGCAGCAUUAUUAUCCCUCCCAAGCCCAACUCUCCAACUGAACUUUUUAUCGGAAGAAAAUCCAGAACUCAUCUGAUCUCCGUCCUAAAUUCUCAAUUAAUUUUUAAUGAUUAAAUUAUGUAAAUCUCUCGGUGCUUCACGAGUACGAGAGGAAGGGGGAGAGCGACUUGCCGACGAAAGGACGGUGAGAAGAAGCGACGAAGAGACAAGAGAGAAGAAGACCCGUGCGCGAAGAUGGGAGAGGUGGGGGGCGUUUCUGCAGGGCUUUGGUCUAGUGGUUUUUUUGUGGUUGUGAUUCUGUGGCUUUUCCUAAUUGUUGUUGAAUCUGGGAUCGAUAAAAAUUUCGAUCGGCUUUUGAAGUAUUUAGCAUUUAGGGACCGCACCGCUACGUCCAGCGAGUAAUGCUCCUGUGUGCUAUUGACAAGCUGAGCUCUGCCACAUCCUCUUCUUAUUUGGCUGGUUGGACAAUUGUGUCCAAUGACCUUAUUUUCGUUUUAUGGAAUUUGCUCUUUUCUGCAUGUGCUUUUUUCUUUUUCUUUUUAUAGUGGUCGUGUAUCUUUUGCUUGCACUCCUCUCUUUUUUUUUUUCCAAGCGAUUUUCCAUGGGUGUGUCAGUAGAGUUGUCGAUGCGACGAUGACAAGAUCAGCUCUUGUUUUCUUUUUCCAGCCUUUUUUAUGUCGAUGCGCCGGUGGAGCUGUCGGUACGGCGGACGAGAUCGAUCAGCUCUUAUUUUCUUUUUUCAGCCUUUUUCAUGUUGGUGCGCUGGUGGAACUGUCGAUACGGCGGACGAGGUCGAUUUGGUGUGAGUAGUGUUUCAAUUGAUUGAAUUUGAUUAUUUUUUUAUUUGACUGAUUUAAUUAUUUGUGUUUAGUUUGGUUUUGUCAAUUUAUUAGUUUGAUAUAUUUUCAUUAAAUCAGGGCCUAUUUUGCUCAUCCAUAUAUAUCCCACUUAAUCUUGUUAAA